AGUAACAUCCUUCCAUGGCCUCUGCAUCAGCUCCAGCUUCCUGACCUGCUACAUUCCAGUCCUGACUUCCUUUGGCGAUGAACAGCAACUGACAAACAGCAAUGCGACACUAUGGGAGACUCAUGAGGUGAGUCGUCGUAGUCCCCGAGACAGAAUAUCUGUAAUCAUUCCCGGAUUGAAUAUAUUUCUGAUGAUCAGAAUGGAGAUAAGAGAUUCACAACAAAGAAUGAAGGAGAACGAGACAGAAUGGGAUCUCGCGGAGGAGACUGAGUGCUGGCCGGGACUGCUGGUGUGGGGUUAGUUCCCAAAAGCAGUUUUUCCUUUAUUUUAGUCUUUCCUUUUCAAUUUCUGUCCAAGUAGCUCUUAGGGAACACCUCAGGACUUUUCAGUGACUAAUUUGACUUCAUCUGGGCCUCUUUCCCUUUCAUAAGUUCUCUCCAUAUUACAUAAAAGAUCUAAGUCUGGCCAUUUACAGAAACAAGGAAAGCUCUGACCUGAGUUACCCAAGCCCCUUCUGGGCCAAUUUAUAUGAAUAGGAUCUCUUCAUUCUGUUCGGCAAGAAUUUCAGGAAUCAAAAUGGCAAGGUUUUUGAAUAACUCUUGCUUCCAUCACUGCCCACAUCUGCACAGCGUGUGACAAAAACAAGCAACACUCAUUUAAUGUCUGUGACAGGAUAUAGGAUGAUAGGAGUCGCCGUCACUGCGUGUGGGUUAUUGUCCCGGCUUUGCUAAUGAAAUGUUUGCUAAUAGAGUGUACUUAGAAAAACUACAUCUCCGGCUCUUAAUUGAACUAGGUCAAGAUGACCAAAUACCUGUCCGCCUACGAGCCACGUUGGAAAGAAGUCUAGGUAGGCUUUCGGAAGAUGAUGGAUAACACACAGACAUGGCCUGAAGAAUCUCUGGGGAAUACGUUGAGUAAAGUUGGUUAAAGCCAUCAGGAGAGAGGUUGUUCGUUGACAGUUUCCCCGCAAAUACGGUGAGCCUUAGUCACUUUCACACCUGUUCCUCUCCCAUCCACCCUCCUCCGGUUGGACUCUUCUCCCUAACAGUCACACCUAGCUUCACGUCGCUUGUCGUGUAAGAUCCGCACAAUCUAAUCACAGUUACCUGCGCGAGCACUGGUGGGCAGUUAUUAGAGCAUCAGCUAUUGCUUGGUGAUAACAACAUCAAAGACAUCGCGGACACUCCUCCCCCCAGCAACUGUUAACUGACAAUAGUCCCUUGCCUGGCAACUGUUAACUGACAAUAGUCCCUAGCCUCACUCCUCUCCAUGCUGAAAUGCUCAAGGCCCAAGCCUGGCCAAGCUUGUGUAGCAAACCACGGGUGCAGCAAACUCAUGAGCACAAGGGCUGUGUCUCGAUCGGAAGAUAUCAUUUCACAGCACGCCUCCUUGUCUUCUAGCUCCUACGUUCUUUCUACCCCUUCUUCCACAGCGUUUCCUGAGCUGUGAUACAGAUGUCUUCUUUCAAGCUAAGAAUUCCACCAUCAAAGUUCUUGGAACUUUGACCAGUUAGGAGUCUCUGCACUAACCACUGCCCACAGCUACAAGAGGCAUUUCUGAGCAAGGCUGAAAGGCCUGGAAUCCAAUCAGAAAGUAACUUACUAUUCCGAUCACAAUCAUGCUACUGUGGCACCAGUGGGUACAUCUUGUCAGAUAGGUCAGUAUUACAGCUUGCAGGGUUCAAAGGUAAGACUAUGAGUGGCUCUUCUCCCCCAGUAGCCUGCAUAACACCUUCUAAAACUGUGAAAGGUAGCCAGCCAGGAGGAGGAGGCUUCCAGUUCAGUUCCGGAUGUCUCUGUGUUCUGAAUCUGAAGUGUGCAGCAACGGGGUCUUACCAUCAAAUUCUGGUGGGCAACCGAGAGCAGUGGUGUCAGCCUGUCAUGUUUUGGGAGCCUCUGGGCUUCCCUGAACCUCCCUGACGAACAACUGGUAAGAUGUUGGUAUUUUCAUUUAAUCCUGCCCACCCGCACAUGGUAACCUUGUUUAAAUUUUGUUCUAAAAUUUUAAAUAAAUGUAUGAAAUAAUAAGUUUCCAAGCUAGUUUUUCCCCCCAUCUACCCUUCCCUUCCAUCACCACCACCACCACCACACCCGUUUAGACCGCUCCAGCCCAGCCUCCCAGGUUCUUCUUUCAGAUCACAUUUGCAAUCGAGAUAUUAAAAAGAGAAACAAGAGGGAGGGGAAAGUCAUGCUCUAUAGUGACACAGACAGGAGAGAUACUGGGAAAAUUCUUGGCCAGAACUGUGGUGAGACACCACUUCAAAAAAACUCCAACUGAGUCCAGCCGGCAGCUUGAGAGCCCAGACCGGCCAUGAAGUUCAUUUUCCAGACACAGAAGCAAGCGCCCACCUAACUGUAUGCAAAAACCUGGUCGGCAGAAUGCCUUAGACUGUAGGGAGGGAAUCUUGGACAGAACCCCGUGCAGGAGCAGGGAGAUGGGAAUGGGGGACAAAGAUCCAGGUUCCAAGUGACCCAGUAAACACUGGAAAGGACUGUCCAGGACAUGUCUCAUGGAUGAGGCCAGCAUCUGUGAUCCAGCCUCACAAAGAACCAUUCAGGGGUGUAACAGGCAUUUGGGACCCCAGGAAGGAAGCCAAGACUAGAAGGGCCAGACUUCAUCCACACUCAAGCCACGCCCCCUUCACCUGGGUCUCUCCUUCCCUGAAUUCCCAGUAUCAAUGCAGGACACCAGCCAGCCAGCGCUGUCCUACUGUGAGCUCUCUCUUGUGCUCACUGUUAGUUUUGCUCUCCUCCUCCCUCCUU
rnacentral:sRNA from 1 species